GACGAACGCUGGCGGCGUGCCUAAUACAUGCAAGUAGAACGCUGAAGCUUGGUGCUUGCACCGAGCGGAUGAGUUGCGAACGGGUGAGUAACGCGUAGGUAACCUGCCUGGUAGCGGGGGAUAACUAUUGGAAACGAUAGCUAAUACCGCAUAAGAGUAGAUGUUGCAUGACAUUUGCUUAAAAGGUGCAAUUGCAUCACUACCAGAUGGACCCGCGUUGUAUUAGCUAGUUGGUGAGGUAACGGCUCACCAAGGCAACGAUACAUAGCCGACCUGGGAGGGUGGUCGGCCACACUGGGACUGAGACACGGCCCAGACUCCUACGGGAGGCAGCAGUAGGGAAUCUUCGGCAAUGGACGGAAGUCUGACCGAGCAACGCCGCGUGAGUGAAGAAGGUUUUCGGAUCGUAAAGCUCUGUUGUAAGAGAAGAACGAGUGUGAGAGUGGAAAGUUCACACUGUGACGGUAUCUUACCAGAAAGGGACGGCUAACUACGUG
rnacentral:rRNA from 1 species